rnacentral:rRNA from 1 species
AUUGAACGCUGGCGGCAUGCCUUACACAUGCAAGUCGAACGGUAUCGGGCCUUCGGGUGCCGACGAGUGGCGAACGGGUGAGUAAUACAUCGGAACGUGCCCGAUCGUGGGGGAUAACGAGGCGAAAGCUUUGCUAAUACCGCAUACGAUCUACGGAUGAAAGCAGGGGACCGCAAGGCCUUGCGCGGACGGAGCGGCCGAUGGCAGAUUAGGUAGUUGGUGGGAUAAAAGCUUACCAAGCCGACGAUCUGUAGCUGGUCUGAGAGGAUGAUCAGCCACACUGGGACUGAGACACGGCCCAGGCUCCUACGGGAGGCAGCAGUGGGGAAUUUUGGACAAUGGGCGCAAGCCUGAUCCAGCCAUGCCGCGUGCAGGAUGAAGGCCUUCGGGUUGUAAACUGCUUUUGUACGGAACGAAAAGCCUUCUUUUAAUACAGGAGGGUCAUGACGGUACCGUAAGAAUAAGCACCGGCUAACUACGUG